GAUAAUCAAGCCCUGGGAAUGCUCACGCACGAACAUGGUACUAGACGCGCCGAUGAGAGCAUGCAGUGUGAUUCAGUGGCUCGUGCCUAGCCCAGUUGUCUUCAUGCGAGAGCCGCAGCUGUGGAGUGAGCCCAAGCAUCUGCAGAUCUGACCCUAGGAAAUGGCGUUUAUUUGGAAACUUCACACUUUGUCCCAAGUCAUCUUCACUCCGAACUGACUCCACAUUUCUCUGCAAAUAGACUAACUUCCUGAGAUCCUGCUUUCACCAUCUAAUCUACAUCUUCAAUGUUGCAACACCCUUGAUUUGGCUCUCUUACUACCUCUACCUGAUGAAGGUGCGCUGAAGACCUCCCCUGUCGCAAGGCUGAUGUCCUCACAGUGGCCAAGAAAGUGUUGGAAAAUGUGUUUCCCACUUGGGGUAUACCUUCUAUAAUCUCCAGUGAUCAAGGUACCCACCUCAUUGGGCAAAUCAUAUAAGCCUUAACAAACACCUUGCAAACCUCUUGGGAUUACCACUGUCCCUAUCACCCUUUAAUCAUCAGGUAAGGUUGAGAGAACUAGAGAGAUCCUUUAAACUUAAAUGUCUAAACUUGCAGACACCACUGGAUUUCCAUGGCCCACAGUAUUGUCUUUGGUCUUGCUGACUGUUCAUAGUACUCCCUUUGGGAAAGUCACUCUAUAGAAGACAGUCGCUGGUAGAUCAAUGUCUAUCAGUAUAUAACCUUCUGCUGAAGAUACACAACUUUCAUGCUAGGAUGUCCAGCUACAGUAAGUCUUAUGCUUAUGUCUUCUGUUUAAGCAUAUCAUCAGCAGAUUAAAGAAGCUUUGCUGAAUCCCAUUUCAAGGAAUCCUGUUGGUCACAGUCUAGAGCCUGGUAACCGGGACUUCUGGAAGUGUCAUCAGAGGAGGACAGCCUCACUGUGCCUCAUGGGAAGGGAGCUUCCCAAGUGCUCCCGAACACAAUAUACUGCAAAACUAGAACACACUGAGCCUUGGGUACAUGUCUCACUGAUAAAGAAGGCUCCACCUGAUAUCAGGCCCUAGGCAGAUGAUACAGACCUACAAACUGAAUUGACAAGGAAGAGAAGUGGCUGACAUCGAAGUAGACUGCUUUCACCCAAGAUGCUGGAUCAAGACCUCAUACUUAAACUAAACAUGAAACCCUUUCUCCUUUUUCUUUUCUUUACUCUGGCGUUGGCCUGGAGAGAUAAUGCCCUCAUUGUAUCCCUCAGGCCAUUGCUAAGUUUGAGAGGGGAUUGGUUAACUCUCAGAUUGCUAGAUUUGUCAUGAUGCAAGAGAUCCUACCCGGGACCAAUUUCUCUUUGAAUCUCAAUGUCAAUCCUCCCUUCCCCCUGCCCCAUCCCCCACUUAGAAGUAUGUACCCAGUUAGACACAUUUACCUAUGUGAAUCUUAGCGCAUUUGGAUCCUUCUGUUCCCAUGAUUAUCUAGACCAGAUCCGUCCCCACUCGCUGAGAGAGCUCACCAGCAGCACCCAUCUUUAUAAGGCACUUAAGAUGACUUUUUAUUUCAGGUUUGGAGAUUCCUUUCCUAUAUAUGCUAAAACCCUGACUGACCCCCGGUUUAGGAGUAAAUACAAAUGAGAAUAUGAUUAGAAACUUCUCCUGAACUCUUGGAGCCCCUGCAGAGUCUGUUGUUAAGACACUAGCUGCCCAGCAAAGAUCCUUAGAGUCUCUGGCCAAAGCGUUUGGAGUAAGGAGGUGUCUGAGCUGGGCCAACAGAACCUGCUGUACCUGAACUAACACUUCUGCGGAAGAUGCAACUCAGUUAUGUAAGAGUUCCGAGAACGCCACUUGGCUUAAAAGGGUGACUUCUUCAGUGGGGUCAUUCUUUGGUUCAGUCUUGGGGACCAUGGCCCUGAAGUGCACUCCAAAUGUUGGGAAUUAUCCUGCUUAUAGUUACAGUAACCUCCCUGGUGUGCUGUAUUCUCCUAAGGGCUUUAAAUGCAUGUUUGCAGCCACCAACCACCAAGCCAAUGAUCUCCCUGAGGCUGGAAUGACAGAAAAGGAGCAAAGAGAAUGACCAACUAAAAAACUGUGAGCCUGAAGUCAUGACUCACGAGUGCCACAGAGAGUCAGCAAAACCCAGGAUGAAUGAAAGCUUCGAGAACUAGAGCCGUAGCUGAGAGUGGUGCUAAUGCCUUGAAUUUCGAUCACAUCUCUCAGUUAGGCUGAGAGUUGGAUCAAAAGAGGGGGGACUGUUAAAAAGAAACAACAGGCCCCAAAUGGAGUCCCCAAGACUUCAUGUCUAACCUAACUGCAGUUUCAGCCUCGCUGGGUUUUAAACUCAUCAUGCUGGAAUUUCCAGAUCGGCCCCAGUGAGGUAAUCUGCACAAGACCCCCUGCCCUUUCCCCAAGGGGAAGGUGACCUUGCCUGAAACCAUCCUUUCUUUUCUUCUGCUAGUUAACUUCCUUGUCCCACCCCAUUCUGCCUAUCAAAGCCUUCCAUUUUAUACAACUCCUUGGAACAGCCUCCUAUUUGUUAGAUGGGAUGCUGCUGACUCCUGAGUCUUAAAUAAAGCCAAUUAGCUCUUUCAAUUUA